ACCACCUGUACACCGACCACAAGGGGGGCACUAUCUCUAAUGCUUUCCGGUGUAUGUCAAGCCUUGGUAAGGUUCUUCGCGUUGCGUCGAAUUAAGCCACAUGCUCCGCCGCUUGUGCGGGCCCCCGUCAAUUCCUUUGAGUUUUAGCCUUGCGGCCGUACUCCCCAGGCGGGGCACUUAAUGCGUUAGCUGCGGCACGGACAACGUGGAAUGUUGCCCACACCUAGUGCCCACCGUUUACGGCGUGGACUACCAGGGUAUCUAAUCCUGUUCGCUCCCCACGCUUUCGCUCCUCAGCGUCAGUAUCGGCCCAGAGAUCCGCCUUCGCCACCGGUGUUCCUCCUGAUAUCUGCGCAUUUCACCGCUACACCAGGAAUUCCGAUCUCCCCUACCGAACUCUAGCCUGCCCGUAUCGACUGCAGACCCGGGGUUAAGCCCCGGGCUUUCACAACCGACGUGACAAGCCGCCUACGAGCUCUUUACGCCCAAUAAUUCCGGACAACGCUUGCGCCCUACGUAUUACCGCGGCUGCUGGCACGUAGUUAGCCGGCGCUUCUUCUGCAGGUACCGUCACUUUCGCUUCUUCCCUGCUGAAAGAGGUUUACAACCCGAAAGGCCGUCAUCCCUCACGCGGCGUCGCUGCAUCAGGCUUUCGCCCAUUGUGCAAUAUUCCCCACUGCUGCCUCCCGUAGGANUCUGGGCCGUGUCUCA
rnacentral:rRNA from 1 species